CCGCCUGGGGAGUANGGNCGCAAGGCUAAAACUCAAAGGAAUUGACGGGGGNNCGCACAAGCGGCGGANGCAUGUGGAUUAAUUCGAUGCAACGCGAAGAACCUUACCUGGGUUUGACAUAUACCGGAAAGCUGCAGAGAUGUGGCCCCCCUUGUGGUCGGUAUACAGNUGGNGCAUGGCUGUCGUCAGCUCGUGUCGNGAGAUGUUGGGUUAAGUCNCGCANCGAGCGCAANCCUUGUCUUAUGUUGCCAGCACGUAAUGGUGGGGACUCGUAAGAGACUGCCGGGGUCAACUCGGAGGAAGGUGGGGGCGACGUCAAGUCAUCAUGCCCCUUAUGUCCAGGGCUUCACACAUGCUACAAUGGCCGGUACAGAGGGCUGCGAUACCGUCAGGUGGAGCGAAUCCCUUAAA
rnacentral:rRNA from 1 species